GCUUGUUAACACGCGCAAUUAACAUCACAAUAUUAUUAUAAGUUAUUUAGGUUGAUCCUUAGUAAUUAAACAUUAAACUCGUAUUCUUGAGGAAGGGCUCUAAACGAUGUUUAAACAAUAAUUACAUAAAUGAUAAAUAUUGGAAAAUCUAAAGAAAAAACAAAACGAAAUUAAUAAUAAUGAAAUAAUGAUUUUGUUACAACUGCGGUGAGCCGUUUUAAGUUUUUUUUACGGUGCAAAAUAAUAUUUUAAUCCAGAUAAGCGAAUUUACGGUACUGUGAAAUAAAUAAUUUUGUUAUUUAUUGAUUUUAUUAUAUUAAAGGAACGACAAAUGAAAUAAUAAUUGUUUGACUACAAUCAAGUUCAUAACGACCACAAAUCGUGGCUCCACUCUUGAUUAUCCAUUUAGAAUUUUAAAAUAUAGUAUCUAUAUAAUAUAAUCAUUUCUUCUACCCGUCAACAUUUUUCGAAUACCGGUGAAUUCGCCAUAGGAGUCUACUUAUGCAUUAAUUUAUCAUUUUAUAAUUGUUUUCGGCAGACAGUGUUGUAUAGAGAUAGUCUUCUACAAAAUGUAUUUAUUUAUUUCGACAAAAAUAAAUGCUCGAAUAAUUAGAAAUACCUGUACUAUUAAUAAAAGGUAAUCAACUAGAUGAGGAUAAAACAUUUACGACAUUUAACAUUUUAAACAUUUAAAUUAUUUAUAUAACAAUACAUAAUUAGUAUAUAUUUAAAAAAAAAGAUGAUUAUUCCGUUGUCUAUCGAAAAACAUAUGGAAAACUAAGAACGGGAUGUGAACAUGUGGUACAUACUACUUUAUACAUGUAGUUUUUUAACAGGAUUUGUGUUUUAUAAAGGUAACCUAAUAAUAUUAACUUAUGAACCGUAUAACUAAACUUAGUAUUUUUAAAUAUAAAUUCCAAUUUUAAAAAAUUGUCACUACAGAUAAAUUUAUUAAUUGGAAGAUUUCUUUAUUUCAUACAGUUGUUCAAAUACUUCAGGGAUAUUAAAUGUAUCUGUAAAAGAUAAAAUAUAAUAAUAUUGUAUGAUAAAAUACAUUUCUG